rnacentral:lncRNA from 1 species
UGUGAACUAUUAUUAGUAUGUUUUGGAAUCAAUUCAAUUCUACUUAGUGAGUGUUCACAUAAAUUUGGAUUAGUUUAGUGAUAUUUUAAUUUUUUCAAAGGUCUCCUUGGCCCUGCUACUAUGGGGUUUUCAGGCACAAAUAGUCCUGCAGGUGCAGGUGUUCAGCAGAUGGAAUAAAGCUGCCAUAAAAGUGCAGGUGUGCACAGCAGUCGUUCCUUCAAGAGACUCUUCUGAAGCCUGGUUUGAUUUGGAGGGGGGAAAAAGGGUCAAGAUAACAGAAAACUUCCAGUAAGUCGGGUACCAGCAGCUCCUGGAGAUGGUUUUGGCCACUGAGCAGCAGAUCCAUCUGUUCUCCUGUUUUCCAGGCGGACAGGAAUUUCUGCCAGGCCAGCCCUGAGCCAGGCAGAAGCUGUGGCAAUAUGGAGCAGAAUUUGGUUUCAUGUUAGCAGGCCUUUCAGGAGGUUUAUUGACUCCAUUUCUCUCUUGUGCUAGGUUAAUCCAUGCAGCUUCCAGCUGAUCUGGAGUGAUGAGUGCUUUUGUCUGCAAAACGCUCUCCAGACACAUUCCUGAGGCUGCCAGUAAACAGAACCACAGGUGGAAAGUGUGACUGCUGAAGGAAAAGAGUGGGUGAAAAGGUGAUUGUUAGAGCUUGGAGCCCCAGAGAAAAGAUUGAACAAAAAUCCAAAUCAGUUUAAAAGCAGAUUGAGACCAAGACUGGGAGAAAAUAACCACUUCCAAUUUCCAAAAGGAUGCCAAUAUCUUACAGACACUCAGUGAGAGGACUUGGCCAGUCAAAGUUCUGGGAGCAGAAAAUCCCAUUGUUCACAAGAUUAGUUUGCCAUCCAAACUGAUGUAUAUUGAGCAUUGUCGACCUCAUUCAAAGCUGAAAACUCUUUGUGCAUUAAUUAUGAAAUAAAUCUUGCUUCAGUGUUGUAAGUAGCA